UUUUUACAACAUAAUUAAAAAAAAAAAUAUAUUAAGAGUCGUAUCCACAUCUCUGCCGUCGUCCAGCGGUUGGGAUGUCUGGCUUUCUCCCAGGAGACCCGGGUUUGACUUCCGGCAACGGAAAUUGAAAAUUUAGCAUUUCAUUAUUAUUAUUAUUUUUGCUCUGUAACAGGACCGAAGGAUUGAUUCCAAGCAAGGCUAACAAUCUAACGAUAAUGAAUUUACAUUUCAUUUGUCUGUUUCUACAUUUUAUUGGAAAAGUUCGUGAUCAUUUCACUCAAAUUAUAAAGAAUUCUACUGCAACUUAAAAGCCAGCUACAUGAAAAGAGGAAAACCAUAUUACCAUCUCUUCAGUUAGCUGCUCUUCUCUCUUGUAUGAUCUCUCCUUUUCCUCCAUCGCAAACCGGCACACCGGACAAGUCUUCCGGCACACUUUGAACCAUCUAUCAAUGCAUACCUUAUGAAACUUGUGCAGACAAGGUAGCGCACGCAUGUCAUCUCCUCCAUUCAAUCUUGACAAGCAAACACAACAGAAUUCACCUUCAGCUGAGCUUGAUCCUCCCAGAGAUUUAAGCAUGCCGUCGGCAUUCUCUGAAACUUCUAAUGCCAUUGUCUCAUAAGACGUUACAUCUUUAAUCCUUAGCUGCCUCCUCAGACCGAUGAAGUUGAAGAUAAAGGAGGCCAACUUCUUGAAAACCAUUUGGUUUAAUGGAGGAUUAGUAUUUCUAUUACAUCGUUAAUAAGAGGACUUAAGCUUGGUGAAAAUGUGUGCCGAGUGAU
rnacentral:tRNA from 1 species